ACUCAAAGGAAUAGACGGGGGCCCGCACAAGCAGCGGAGCGUGUGGUUUAAUUCGAUGCAACGCGAAGAACCUUACCUGGGCUUGACAUGCACGUGGUAGAACCCGGAAACGGGGACGACCCGCAAGGGAGCGUGCACAGAUGCUGCACGGCUGUCGUCAGCUCGUGCCGUGAGGUGUUGGGUUAAGUCCCGCAACGAGCGCAACCCUCGCUGCCAGUUACGAUGUCUGGCGGGACCGCCGGGUCCAACCCGGAGGAAGGUGGGGAUGACGUCAAGUCAGCAUGGCUCUUACGUCCAGGGCUACACACACGCUACAAUGGCCGGUACAACGGGCAGCGAGGGGGCGACCCGGAGCGAAUCCCAUCAAAGCCGGUCUCAGUUGGGAUGGCAGGCUGCAACUCGCCUGCCUGAACGCGGAGUUGCUAGUAACCGCGGGUCAGCACACCGCGGUGAAUACGUUCCCGGGCCUUGUACACACCGCCCGU
rnacentral:rRNA from 1 species